rnacentral:rRNA from 1 species
UACGUAGGGGGCAAGCGUUGUCCGGAUUUAUUGGGCGUAAAGAGCGUGUAGGCGGCCCGAUAAGUAGGGGGUGAAAUCCUGCGGCUUAACCGCAGGGCUGCCUUCUAAACUGUCGGGCUAGAGCACGGUAGAGGCAGAUGGAAUUCCCGGUGUAGCGGUGGAAUGCGUAGAGAUCGGGAAGAACAUCAGUGGCGAAGGCGGUCUGCUGGGCCGUUGCUGACGCUGAGGCGCGACAGCGUGGGGAGCAAACGGG